rnacentral:rRNA from 1 species
GCAGCAGGCGCGCAAAUUACCCACUCUCGGCUCGAGGAGGUAGUGACGAGAAAUAACGAGACUGUUCUCUUUGAGGCCGGUCAUCGGAAUGGGUACAAUUUAAACCCUUUAACGAGUAUCAAGCAGAGGGCAAGUCUGGUGCCAGCAGCCGCGGUAAUUCCAGCUCUGCAAAUACAUAGAAUUAUUGCUGCGGUUAGAAAGCUCAUAGUUGGAUUCGUAUCGAUACCUUGGAACCCUUCGGGUGUCUCUAGGUGUUAUCGAUUUAUCGUAAUGUUCGGUUUUGAGUCCUUAACAGGAUUCUUAACAGGCAUUGCAAGUUUACUUUGAACAAAUCAGAGUGCUUCAAACAGGCGUUUUCGCUUGAAUGAUCGUGCAUGGAAUAAUAGAAAAUGAUUUCGGUUCAGUUUUAUUGGUUUUACGGACUGAGAUAAUGGUUAACAGAGACAAACGGGGGCAUUUGUAUGGUCCCGUGAGAGGUGAAAUUCUUGGACCGUGGCCAGACAAACUACAGCGAAAGCAUUUGCCAAGAAUGUUUUUAUUAAUCAAGAACGAAAGUCAGAGGUUCGAAGGCGAUCAGAUACCGCCCUAGUUCUGACCGUAAACGAUGCCAACUAGCGAUCCGCCGAUGGAAAUUAUAUUGCCUUGGUGGGGAGCUUCCCGGAAACGAAAGUCUUCCGGUUCCGGGGGAAGUAUGGUUGCAAAGCUGAAACUUAAAGGAAUUGACGGAAGGGCACCACCAGGAGUGGAGCCUGCGGCUUAAUUUGACUCAACACGGGGAAACUCACCCGGCCCGGACACUGUGAGGAUUGACAGAUUGAUAGCUUUUUCAUGAUUCAGUGGAUGGUGGUGCAUGGCCGUUCUUAGUUCGUGGAGUGAUUUGUCUGGUUUAUUCCGAUAACGAGCGAGACUCUAACCUACUAAAUAGUUGGUACAUACUCUUAGUGUAUACAGCUUCUUAGAGGGAUUUGCGGCGUUCAGCCGAAAGAA